CCAGCUCUCUACAGCAGUGCACUGAAAAGUGAUGUGUGAUGUGAAGCAAGGUGAGGGGAAUCAUGUUCACUUCACCACAGACACUAAAGUUUGCCAGCUUUCUUCUUUACCUGAGUAAUGACCACCAGGAGGGGCUUCACAGCAGCUUGUUUUGUUCCUAGAUCCAGAAAAAUAUGUGCAUUUGCCUACAAGGACAGUGUGCAUUUUAAGCAUAGCCAAGAGACAGGUGAUUAAACUGACUAGAGAGUCUCUGUCCCACUCAGAAUAGGCCUCCAGGUCAGAGGUGUAUUAAUGAGAGAACGGCUGGAGGAUGAUGAGCUGAUCCUGCAGCCUCCAACAGCACUGAAUGGACUACAAGGGCUCUGUAGAAAAUAACUCCCAGCUAAUAACUGCACAAAUCAUCCUGCAGAGCCAGCUGUUACCAGGACUGCAAGCAUUCCUGUUGUUUGUUUUUGGAGGAGCCCUGUGUGCUUGUGUCAAAGCCCAGACCAUGUACAAAUUCCCCAGUGGUCACUGUGAAGAACACCAUGAUAUUUUAAAGGUAAAGGAAUCAAAUUUACAUCAGUUUCUUCCAGGACUCAUAUCCUGUGCCAGCAGAAGUGGGAGAGAUACUGUUUUGUAGAGAGCUGCUCUGAUCAGUAUUCUUGAUGUGUGUCCUAGUGGUAGGAAGUAGCAAUAAUCAUAAUAAUAUUAAAACUCCCAUAUACUACGAAGCUAAGUGUUAAAGGGGAUAAAGCUAAGCAUGGGUAGCUAGCUGGGUAGUACCAGCUACUAUUUUCAGUAGUAAAGCAUGUUAUGCAUGUUGGGCAUGUUAUACACUGACUGAUCUCUUUCAUUCUGAAAGGGAUUUCCAGGUGUAUCUUGGGUAUUUUUAGCACAAGUGGAAGAAAAACAUAAUGUAAAACAAGAAUAGAUUUUGCUAUUGUUUAUAGAGACAGUUUUGAUUUCCUAGGAGUAAACAGAGGGCAUGAGGGUAAUAAUUGACUUGAAGAAAGAAUGUGAAUUAGAAAGGGCAAUAAUCCUUGGGGCUUGCCCUGCUGCUGGAAAGCAGUGGGUUUCCUUCUGGCCAGAGCAAAGUUUUCAGUGAGAUUGGACACAUCAAAGCGGGUUACAAAGACCAGACUGCUGGUUUCUUUAAAAAACACUCUGCAGAUGUUUGAGCACACAUUAACAGAACUAUUUCUUAAAAGUCCAGCUACAACAAAUUGAGUCAAAUAACUGCAAGCAGUUUCUUUGCUUUGUGCCCUGAUCUUCCCUGCAAAUUAUUUGGGCAGAGUCCAAGUACGAGAAAUACCUGCAAAACCUAGAAAUGUAUCCUUGCAGAAACCGAUCCAACAGUGGAAAGAGGAAUUCUAAUUCAACUGGUAAAUGUAAAAGGGAUUUCUUUGUCAUACUUGCCAUCCGUACAAAUGACUGGGUUACCCAGCUACCCAAACUUUAUCUGUGUCCAUACCCCCUCAGUAAAACUCUCCAGCUCAAUUGCCCCGUGUAAUAGUCUACUCACCUAAUCAUCUCUUAUUUUUAUCCUUCCAGGUUUCCAUGUCAGUGCAUGAGUUUUUAAAUAAUUUGAUAAUUUUCAUAACGUGCUUGGACUUGAUUCUCUAACCUGUAUUUCAGGAAGCAGUUCAUCAGUGUGGGUGACUCCAUGGUAGCCUCACCUGAAAACUUUCCAGGUUUCCUAAAUUCCACUGUCUUGCCCAUGUUUAUUAUAAGUUCAUAGCAACUAUGUCCAUAUGCAGAAUGAUGAAAGGGUGAUUUAUUUUUUAUUAUGUGACUAGAAUAUUGCUGAAGAAGCAAAGAGGCUUGUGUAUUAUGAAAAGACAGAACAGGGAUGUCCGAGCAUGUGCAGUGAGGGGGGAUAAGAAAUGAAUUUUACAGCACCCUUCAGAAAGUCUAUCAUAAGGAAAACUUGUGUUUGAAACCUUCUCUUCCUCAGUGGGAAAAUAAUAUAUAUGUGAAAAUCAUGGGUUUUCUUGGCUUCUAGUAUCACCAGAGUUUUCUUGGAAGUAAAGGAACAGUCCUGCUUUCAUUAAUUCCAAAAAAGCUUUGCAUUCAAGCUAUUCACCUGGAGUGAAGGGCUACCUAAUUCAGUCUGCACACAUGGAUUAUGCAUCCUACAUGAAAGUCUUUGAUCCAUGAGAAAACCAACAUUUGUUGAUCUGUUUUGCACUGUAUCUUGCAAUGAAUGCUUUUGCAUAUAUGUAUUUUAUUGUAUCUGAUGUCUA